CCUGCAAAUGACUAGCUACUGAAUCUUUGGUGUGUCAUCAAAGAUAACGUAAAGGAAAAUAAUGAUAUUACUUUACUAUUAGUGUCGUCCAAAAACUCGUGCCAGAAGACUCGGUAAGGCGAGAGACGCAAACGUUAUUCGUCUUGAUCAGGCGUAAAGGGUGUGUAGGCUGCUUUAAGUAUUUAUCUCAUGUUUACUAUUAUAAAAAUAUAAAAUUUUGCCUAAUACUUAAUUUUCUGUUUCAGAAAAUUAAGUAUUAGCAUAUUUGUUGAAGUAUAAUAUUGAUAUAUUAAUCAAUUAAAGCUAGAAUCUAAAAGAGGUUAAAACAAUACUUAAGGUAGGAGUACUAACCGUAAAUAUUAAGUAGAGUGCUAACGGCGAAGGCAUUUACCCACUAAAGAUUGACGCUGAGAAACGAAAGUGAGGGCAGAAAAAAGGAUUAGAGACCCUUGUAUUCCUCACUGUCAACGAUGAAUGGUAGUUAUUAGUUAGUAAUUAACUAAAGGCAAUGUUAACACGAAAACCAUUCCGCCUUGUGAGUACAACUGCAAAGUUGAAAACAAAAAAAUUAGUCGGUUUCGGAGCAAACGAAGUGAAGCAUGUUAUUUAUUA
rnacentral:rRNA from 1 species